rnacentral:rRNA from 2 species
GGGUUGUGAGGUUAAGCGACUAAGCGUACACGGUGGAUGCCCUGGCAGUCAGAGGCGAUGAAGGGCGUGCUAAUCUGCGAUAAGCGCCGGUAAGGUGAUAUGAACCGUUAUAACCGGCGAUACCCGAAUGGGGAAACCCAGUGUGACUCGUCACACUAUCAUUAACUGAAUCCAUAGGUUAAUGAGGCGAACCGGGGGAACUGAAACAUCUAAGUACCCCGAGGAAAAGAAAUCAACCGAGAUUCCCCCAGUAGCGGCGAGCGAACGGGGAGGAGCCCAGAGCCUGAAUCAGCAUGUGUGUUAGUGGAAGCGUCUGGAAAGGCGCGCGAUACAGGGUGACAGCCCCGUACACAAAAGCGCAUGUGCUGUGAGCUCGAUGAGUAGGGCGGGACACGUGGUAUCCUGUCUGAAUAUGGGGGGACCAUCCUCCAAGGCUAAAUACUCCUGACUGACCGAUAGUGAACCAGUACCGUGAGGGAAAGGCGAAAAGAACCCCGGCGAGGGGAGUGAAAAAGAACCUGAAACCGUGUACGUACAAGCAGUGGGAGCCCCACCACCAAAGCAUUUGCUGUACCGCGUUGACGGAGCGAAGCGACG